rnacentral:rRNA from 1 species
GACGAACGCUGGCGGCGUUCCUAAUACAUGCAAGUAGAACGCAUUUGCGCACGCGUGAGUAACGCGUAUGUAACUGCCUCAUAGCGGGGGAUAACUAUUUGAAACGAUAGCUCAUACCGCAUACUGUGAGAUGGACCUGCGUUGUAUUAGCUAGUUGGUGAGGUAAAGGCUCACCAAGGCGACGGUACAUAGCCGGCCUGAGAGGGUGGUCGGGCAAACUGGGACUGGGGCACCGGCCAGGCCCCCACGGGGGGCCACAGUAGGGGAACUGUGGCAAUGGACGGAAGUCUGGACAAGCAACGGCGCGGGAGUGAAGAAGGGUUUCGGAUCGUAAAGCUCCGUUGUUAGAGAAGCGGGAACUAACCAGAAAGGGACGGGUAACUACGGGCCAGCAGCCGCGGUAAUUC